GUAAGGAGAAGCAGUUUUUGGCAGCUACUGGUGGAGAUACCAGUGCUGGAGAAGACACCCAACGUAACAGAAGGUGCAGAAAUGGAAGGAGGUUUUUCCAUGAGUACAGUAUCAGAAAGGUGAGGUGCAUAUUGGCGAUAAGCAGUGCUCCUUGGUGGCCUAUAGUGGCGCAAUAAUGGUUGCCCGUCAUUUACCCUGGGAAAAUUGCUAGGUUGGCGCCUCUUCAAGGGGUGACCUGGUCGUCGUCUCAUGGAGCUGCCAGUGCUAACUCAAUUAAA